UCUCCGUUGGUGAACCAGCGGAGGGAUCAUUACAGGACUCGCAAGACUACUACAACCCUGUGAACUUAACUAUAAGCACGUUGCUUCGGGGGGUGUCUCGGAGGGGGUUCUCCCUCCCCGAGACGCUAAACCCGCCGGCAGCCUACUAUACUCUGUCUCUUUGCGUUGGCAUCUCGAGUACAAUCAAACAAGUUAAAACUUUCAACAACGGAUCUCUUGGUUCUG
rnacentral:misc_RNA from 1 species